AUGGCCUUUCCUCCCCCCUGGCUCCCGGGGUCUCUGGCGCUGCUGGGCCGGCUGCAGCCCCCCGACACCGGGGCGCUGGCACAGCACGGCCCCCGCUCCCGGGCAGCCCCCGCUCCUGGGCCAUGCCCUCCUGUGCCUUACCGGCGCCGCGGGGAGCGUCCUGGUGCCGGGCAGCCCUCCCCGGGCCCUGCCCUGCCCGGCGGUGCCGGUGCCGGUGCCCGGCCCGCAGAGCUGCCCGGCGGUGCCUUGGUGGGGGCGCGCGUCCCUGUCCCUCCCCGGCACGGCAGAGCCAGGGCGCUGUUACUUGAAAAGUUUUAUUUUGCCUUUGUAUGGAGAAAUAUUAUUUGUUGUAAACUCUUCUGUAAUGAAUCUGGAAUUCUUGUAAUUAUUAAAGACUUUAACCAAGCCGCGCCGGAGCCCAGUUUUACCAGUCCCGCGUGCGGCCGGGUCCUGGCCCCCGGUGCUGGGAGACGCCGCGGACCCUCGGCUCCUCCGGGCUCCCCGUUUGGGCAGGAGGAGUUCAAAGGCUGCGAGGAAUGCGGGCUGCUCUGCUGGGAGCUGUUUUUCCUGACCCCAAAAUUCCCUGUACCAAUUCCGCCCCGUUCAGCAACCUUUGCCUCCUCUCCGCUACCAGCGCGCGGUGCCCAUGACGGUGGCGGCGUCACCCCCACGUGUUUCCCACCCCCAGGCUGGACCCCCCCGGCUGUUCCCCCCCGCGGCCGCUCCGUCCCCGGGCAGGGAGCCCCUUCCCAGAGCAGGGGGGGCUCGGCCGGGGGUGCAGCCAGAUGUUCUGGCAGCCGCGUGCACGCCGCCGUCCUCGCCAAAAGCUCGGCGCGCGAGGCCAGCUGGGCUCCAGCCUCCAGCGCUGGGGAUGACCCAGGGACCCUUAACCCCCUCCCCGCCACCCAUCAGGAGCUGCUCCCCGCAAGGAAGACGAGGCUGAGCAGCUGGGUGGCUCCUUGGAGGCCGGGGGGGACAGGUUUGUGUUUUUGGGCCCCCCCUGUCCGGAGGUGCCGGGGAUCUCUCCAGCCGGGCGGCCGCGCGCAGCCCUCCCUCCACCCUGACGUCAGCCCCGGGUCGCUCCCUGCACUUUUUUCGUCUUCUCCUCCUCCCAGCAUGGAUCCGGUGCCAGCUCCAGGCCGUUUGCCUUCAGCUGUGAGCUGCUGCCCGCGGAAACUGCACCGGCCCUGGGAAAGGAACCGGGGAGCAGCGGGCGGUUACGGGCAGCACCAGGAGCCCUGGGGGGGGACGUGUCAGGGGGGUCCCCAGGGCUGGCAGCGUGGCUGGGACCUGACUCACCCACCGCGAGGGCGAGGGGCGAGGGCGAGGGGCUCGCAGCCCCUCUCCUUAGCCAGGAAAUGGUUAAGGCUGCAGGCUCGCGGUGCUCCCUGUCUCCCCGGCCCUUUUAAAAGCAUCUGCUUGUUGCUAUUUCCAUGUGUAAAUUAA
rnacentral:lncRNA from 1 species